rnacentral:rRNA from 1 species
GACGUAGGGCGCGAGCGUUGUCCGGAUUUAUUGGGCGUAAAGAGCUCGUAGGCGGCUUGUCGCGUCGAAUGUGAAAUCUCAGGGCUCAACUCUGACAUUGCAUUCGAUACGGGCAGGCUAGAGUUCGGUAGGGGAGACUGGAAUUCCUGGUGUAGCGGUGAAAUGCGCAGAUAUCAGGAGGAACACCGGUGGCGAAGGCGGGUCUCUGGGCCGAUACUGACGCUGAGGAGCGAAAAGCGUGGGGAGCGAACAGG